GUGCUCACUUUGGUAGCACAUAUAUUAAAAUUAGAAUGAUACAGAGAAAAUUAGCAUGGCCCCUGUGAAAGGAUGACAUGCAAAUUCAUGAAGCAUUCCAUAUUUUU
ensembl:snRNA U6 U6 spliceosomal RNA